GGAGAGAUGGCCGAGCGGCUGAAGGCGCUCCCCUGCUAAGGGAGUAUAGGUUAAUCCUAUCGAGGGUUCGAAUCCCUCUCUCUCCGCCA
rnacentral:tRNA from 1 species